ensembl:lncRNA
AGAGACAUUUAGAAGGUCCCUGUACAACUCAUGCAAGUAUUUUAUUAACGACAAUUUUUAUUCAAAUGUAGAUCUCGGAGCUCACAGGGAAAACCACCCUCACCCACCCUGCAGGAGGAGCACAAUGGCACAAUGGCACCCUCUGUUGCCCUGCGCGCUGCUCCCACGUGGAUGUAUGAACUCCUGAAAGUAUCCAUUCCCCAUCUCCAAAUCUCAUCUCUUCCCGCCGAGCUUCCUUGUUUGUUUGGAGUUAUCCUGUUAUUUCCAUUUGUAAUAAAACCCGUCUUGUUCUUUUUGUGCUGAGUGGAGAAACAUCGAGAGGAUUGUCACGCUCAUUUCAUGAACAGUUGGCCUCCUGUCCCCAUUUUGUCCUCCCUAAGUGGCAGCUCCUUGCAACAGUUGUAUUAACAACUGAGCUCAGCCCUGCAAAGUGGUGGGCAUUUCCAGCGUUAACUGGAAAGCAAUUAGUCUUGAUGAGAUUGGGCUGUCCAACUCUCAGACAAUUAAUUAAAUUACAGCUUGUCUUUCAUUUGGUUAAACAAAAACUUGAUUCAUUAAUUAAAAUACACUGUGAAUCUGAUUUUUUGCUCUGAUCCUCUGUGUGUUCGUAAGCAAACAACAAGUUCCUUUUAGGAACCAAAACAAAAUUCCUUCUGGAGCAUGACAAGUUUUCACUCCUAAUCACCUUGUAUCCAUGUGAACACACUUUAAUUGCUCAUUAACACAAAGUUAGCGGGCUGACACACAACUAGCUGCUUCUUUUGGACUUCUCUAACAGUAACUUUUUUGUGUGUGUCUCGUAAGGAGACCAGACGUUUCUCAGAAUCAAUCAACUUUUUCUGUGUUUUACUUCCAUGCCAUGCUGUAAAGGAUUGUACAGUUGCCUUGCUGUAAUGUUAUUAUUCAGGACUGAUUUUACUGUGAUGGCAUAAGAGGAAUUAGACAUGUCCAUUCUAUUGUUGUUGAUAUGACUGUGCCUAUUUUCCCCAUAUGCAGUCUGAAACAAUUAUCAGAAGCAGUACAUAGAACUCAUCACUUAGAAAUGAUUACUUAGAAGUCAUUAGAUGUUGUUAAUGUGAACAGAUUUUUGUAAAAGCCACGUUUUGUGCAGGACUGGUUAUUUUUAGAUAAAAAUAUUUAAACUGAAGAAGAGAUUUCAAUUUUUCAAAUUGUGAUGUACAGGAACUCAGUGAGAAUUAAAAAUCUGACAUAAGAUCCAGUAUAAAAAAAGUAUUUCAGUGCAUCUAUUUGACAAGCACAAAUGGUCUGUAAGUAUGUUGAAUUAUAACAAAAAAUGAGUUGGAAAUAUUUGGGAUACUCUGUCUGUUCAGUUUUAAGCAGCCUUACCUACUGUGCCAAUGACUUACAGUCAGGUUUGGAUUCUGUGUGCUCAUCAUCAGCUUUCAGGAUCCAUGCUACAUUUGCCUCCUUUGAUUCUGCAAAGAUUUUGUCAAGAAAUUGAACUGAAUUUUAUCCCAGGCCUCACAAAUACAACCAUGUUUGACAGUUGUGGGAAAGAAGGGGGUUCGAGCUGCAUCUAUUGUUUGUUCAGAAAUAUCUAAUUUCAUAAGUCAAAUUACUCGUAAUGAUUCCAUACUAAUUUGUUAUUUGAAUCCUUUGCAGGCCUACUUUCUCCCAGAUGAUGGGAGACAAGAGGAAUUGCCUAAGCUUUUGAUACUGUGUAGAUCUCUGCUGAAACACAUUCUGAUUGCUACUGAUCUAGACAUAUUUUUUUUCUUAUAAGCUUAAGCCCGCAAGCUUCAGAAUUUAGCAUAAAAGACCAGCUGUCACCUGAUUUUGUUGUUCUUUUUUUUAGAGAAACAAUUCAAUUUUAGGGGAAAAAAAGGCAACUCAAUGUUAAAAUGCCAAAGAAAAGCUUCUCUGAAAUGUAAACAAAACCAAAAUGACCAUACCUUAAAACAGCACAUUUCAACAGG